rnacentral:tRNA from 1 species
CAUUGGAUAGCUCAGUGGGUAGAGCAUCGGACUGUUAAUCCGACUGUCGCGGGUUCGACCCCCGCUCCAAACA